CAUAUUCUCCCAUGAGCGGUGGCUGACAAAUUAAAAAACAACAGUGGUGUUGGCUACAAUUAAAUCUUGCGAUUGCAUAUUUCCCAUGAAAAUUGACGGCUUGUUGGUGGUGAGGUACCCAACCAACCCCUUGCGCCUCCCACUGGCCAUGAAUCAGUGGCUGGAGCUUAUUUAUUUGGGGUUAUGACCCAAAGUCAAAUAAUAAAAUUG
rnacentral:lncRNA from 1 species